UACGAAGGGGGCUAGCGUUGCUCGGAAUUACUGGGCGUAAAGGGCUCGUAGGCGGCCAACUAAGUCGGAUGUGAAAUCCCCAAGCUUAACUUGGGAACUGCAUCCGAUACUGGAUGGCUUGAAUCCGGGAGAGGGAUGCAGAAUUCCAGGUGUAGCGGUGAAAUGCGUAGAUAUCUGGAGGAAUACCGGUGGCGAAGGCGGCAUCCUGGACCGGCAUUGACGCUGAGGAGCGAAAGCGUGGGGAGCGAACAGG
rnacentral:rRNA from 1 species